GAUGAAGAACGUAGUGAAAUGCGAUAAGUAAUGUGAAUUGCAGAAUUCAGUGAAUCAUCGAAUCUUUGAACGCACAUUGCGCCCCCUGGUAUUCCGGGGGGCAUGCCUGUUCGAGCGUCAUUUCACCACUCAAGCCUCGCUUGGUAUUGGGCAACGCGGUCCGCCGCGUGCCUCAAAUCGACCGGCUGGGUCUUCUGUCCCCUAAGCGUUGUGGAAACUAUUCGCUAAAGGGUGUUCGGGAGGCUACGCCGUAAAACAACCCCAUUUCUAAGGUUGACCUCGGAUCAGGUAGGGAUACCCGCUGAACUUAAGCAUAUCAAUAAGCGAGGA
rnacentral:misc_RNA from 1 species